AGUGAACGCUGGCGGUAGGCCUAACACAUGCAAGUCGAACGGCAGCACAGUAAGAGCUUGCUCUUACGGGUGGCGAGUGGCGGACGGGUGAGGAAUACAUCGGAAUCUACUUUUUCGUGGGGGAUAACGUAGGGAAACUUACGCUAAUACCGCAUACGACCUACGGGUGAAAGCAGGGGAUCUUCGGACCUUGCGCGAUUGAAUGAGCCGAUGUCGGAUUAGCUGGUUGGCGGGGUAAAGGCCCACCAAGGCGACGAUCCGUAGCUGGUCUGAGAGGAUGAUCAGCCACACUGGAACUGAGACACGGUCCAGACUCCUACGGGAGGCAGCAGUGGGGAAUAUUGGACAAUGGGCGCAAGCCUGAUCCAGCCAUACCGCGUGGGUGAAGAAGGCCUUCGGGUUGUAAAGCCCUUUUGUUGGGAAAGAAAGGCAGCAGGUUAAUACCCCGCUGUUCUGACGGUACCCAAAGAAUAAGCACCGGCUAACUUCGUG
rnacentral:rRNA from 1 species